rnacentral:rRNA from 1 species
AGGGCGCUACCAGGAGUGGAUCCUGCGGCUCAAUUUGACUCAACACGGGAGAGCUCACCUGGUCCGGACACUGGAAGGAUUGACAGAUUAAGAGCUCUUUCUUGAUUCAGUGGGUGGUGGUGCAUGGCCGUUCUUAGUUGGUGGAGCGAUUUGUCUGGUUAAUUCCGAUAACGAACGAGACUCUAGCCUACUAAAUAGGUGUUCCGAUCCCAUCAGUCGGACGCUCUUCUUAGAGGGACAAGCGGCGUUUAGCCGCACGAGACAGAGCAAUAACAGGCCUGUGAUGCCCUUAGAUGUCCGGGGCCGCACGCGCGCUACACUGAAGGAACCAGCGUGUGUCCCUGUCCGGCAGGACUGGGUAAUCCGUUGAACCUCCUUCGUGAUAGGGAUAGGGGCUUGUAAUUGUUCCCCUUGAACAAGGAAUUCCCAGUAAGCGUGAAUCAUCAGUUCACGUUGAUUACGUCCCUGGCCUUUGUACACACCGCCCGCCGCUACUACUGAUUGGAUGAUUUAUUGAGG